UCUUAUGCAAGUCCUGUGCACAAGGUAAC
rnacentral:piRNA from 2 species